CCUACGGGAGGCAGCAGUGAGGAAUAUUGGUCAAUGGUCGGGAGACUGAACCAGCCAAGCCGCGUGAGGGAUGAAGGUACAGAGUAUCGUAAACCUCUUUUGUCAGGGAACAAAGGCGGGGACGUGUCCCCUGAUGAGUGUACCUUAAGAAAAAGCAUCGGCUAACUCCGUGCCAGCAGCCGCGGUAAGACGGAGGAUGCGAGCGUUAUCCGGAUUUCUUGGGUUUAAAGUGUGCGCGGGCGGCCUGUUAAGUCAGCGGUCAAAGCCCGGGGCUCAACCCCGGCGCGCCGUUGAAACUGGCAGUCUCGAGUUGGAGAGAAGUAUGCGGAAUGCGCGGUGUAGCGGUGAAAUGCAUAGAUAUCGCGCAGAACUCCGAUUGCGAAGGCAGCAUGCCGGCUCCACACUGACGCUGAGGCACGAAAGCGUGGGUAUCGAACAGGAUUAGAUACCCCAGUAGUC
rnacentral:rRNA from 1 species